rnacentral:tRNA from 1 species
GCCCUAGUAACUCAACGGCAGAGUGCCUCUUUUGUAAGGAGGAAGUUGGGAGUUCGAAUCUCUCCUAGGGCU